CGAUGCCGGAUUAGCUUGUUGGCGGGGUAAAAGCCCACCAAGGCGACGAUCCGUAGCUGGUUUGAGAGAACGACCAGCCACACUGGGACUGAGACACGGCCCAGACUCCUACGGGAGGCAGCAGUGGGGAAUUUUGGACAAUGGGCGAAAGCCUGAUCCAGCCAUGCCGCGUGAGUGAAGAAGGCCUUCGGGUUGUAAAGCUCUUUCGGCGGGGACGAAAUAGCGCGGGGUAACAUCCCGCGUCGAUGACGGUACCCGAAGAAGAAGGACCGGCUAACUACGUGCCAGCAGCCGCGGUAAUACGUA
rnacentral:rRNA from 1 species